CAGUCGAGGGGAACGGCAUCAGCGCUUGCGCCUGAUGGACGUCGACCGGCGCACGGGUGAGUAACGCGUAUCCAACCUGCCCCACACUAAGGGACAACCCGCAGAAAUGUGGGCUAAUACCUUAUAUUUUCCACCAAGGGCAUCGUCGAUGGAACAAAGAUUUAUCGGUAUGGGAUGGGGAUGCGUCCGAUUAGGUUGUUGGCGGGGUAACGGCCCACCAAGCCAUCGAUCGGUAGGGGUUCUGAGAGGAAGGUCCCCCACAUAGGAACUGAGACACGGUCCUAACUCCUACGGGAGGCAGCAGUGAGGAAUAUUGGUCAAUGGGCGGGAGCCUGAACCAGCCAAGUAGCGUGCAGGAAGACGGCCCUAUGGGUUGUAAACUGCUUUUAUGCGGGGAUAAAGGAGUCCACGUGUGGGCUUUUGCAGGUACCGCAUGAAUAAGGACCGGCUAAUUCCGUGCCAGCAGCCGCGGUAAUACGGAAGGUCCGGGCGUUAUCCGGAUUUAUUGGGUUUAAAGGGAGCGUAGGCCGCGUUUUAAGCGUGUUGUGAAAUGUAGGCGCCCAACGUCUGCAUCGCAGCGCGAACUGGAACGCUUGAGUACGCGCAACGUUGGCGGAAUUCGUCGUGUAGCGGUGAAAUGCUUAGAUAUGACGAAGAACUCCGAUUGCGAAGGCAGCUGACGGGAGCGGCACUGACGCUUAAGCUCGAAGGUGCGGGUAUCAAACAGGAUUAGAUACCCUGGUAGUCCGCACGGUAAACGAUGGAUGCUCGCUGUGUGCCUUUUGUGGUACGCGGCUAAGCGAAAGCGUUAAGCAUCCCACCUGGGGAGUA
rnacentral:rRNA from 1 species